rnacentral:piRNA from 1 species
UAGUUGUGUAUGAGUUAAUAAAAAGAAGG